rnacentral:rRNA from 1 species
GACGAACGCUGGCGGCGUGCUUAACACAUGCAGGUCGAACGGAAAGGCCCUGCUUUUGUGGGGUGCUCGAGUGGCGAACGGGUGAGUAACACGUGAGUAACCUGCCCUUGACUUUGGGAUAACUUCAGGAAACUGGGGCUAAUACCGGAUAGGAGCUCCUGCUGCAUGGUGGGGGUUGGAAAGUUUCGGCGGUUGGGGAUGGACUCGCGGCUUAUCAGCUUGUUGGUGGGGUAGUGGCUUACCAAGGCUUUGACAGGUAGCCGGCCUGAGAGGGUGACCGGCCACAUUGGGACUGAGAUACGGCCCAGACUCCUACGGGAGGCAGCAGUGGGGAAUAUUGCACAAUGGGCGGAAGCCUGAUGCAGCAACGCCGCGUGCGGGAUGACGGCCUUCGGGUUGUAAACCGCUUUCGCCUGUGACGAAGCGUGAGUGACGGUAAUGGGUAAAGAAGCACCGGCUAACUACGUG